UUCAGCAAAAACAGUGACCAAUUUAUUCUAUUCGUAUAAAAACCAUGUUGAAUUCUAAAGUAGGUACUUACAAUUCAGUCCCUUUUACUGCAAUCGUGUUCUACAGUUGAUUUGAAGAAAAUCAAAAAUGAUGAGCUGCAAAAUUUUCGGACUCUUCGUGUUCAUUGCAACAAUUUUGUUAAUGGCACCAACAACCUUGGCCCAGUGUAUUGCCAACAGGAACGGUUGUCAACCUGACGGAAGUCAAGGAACCUGUUGCUCUGGUAAUUGCUAUAAGGAAGCAGGAUGGGUCGCUGGAUACUGCAGAUAAUUCGAAUGCGAAUUUUCCAAAAAAUCCUUCUUCAAAAAUGUAUUUUUCAAAAUUGUAACAUUCGUCUUUAGUCUCGUGUGGUAUUUUUUGAAAGUACCAUUCCUUUGACUAAAUUUAAAAUCCAAAUAUUAUUUUCAAAAAUUUAAAGAUGUAAUCAAAUGUUGAACAUUAAUAAAUUGUUAUUUCAAUUGA